rnacentral:lncRNA from 1 species
CUGUCCUCUCUGCUGCCCUCUGCUGGCUGAGCCCUGGACCUGUCCUCUCUGCUGCCCUCUGCUGGCUGAGCCCUGGACCUGUCCUCUCUCAUCUGCUUCAGCCUCAGUCUCGCAGCCUGGGCACGUCCGCUCACAGAGUUGGGAGAGAAGGUGAGCCGGCUACUGCUUCCUGUUCCCGCUGGUUUACCGGUGACGCUCGUGGUGAAACUGGUCGGGGUUCUACCAGCGUCCUGAGCCUCAGGGGCUACUUUAGUCUGAGGUUGGGUUUUAGACGUUUUCUCUUUCUGGGUUUGUGCUGAAGGUGUGGUAGUCCCAAGAGAAAUGGAGAAGUUGUUUGGGACAGGUGAGGCAGCAUUUGGGACGGGUGCUGCUAAAGUUCCAGGUGGUUUAUCUGGUUUACUAGCAGGCUCUGGGUUGUUCUGCGGCUGGCAUGCUGGCUGUAUUGUCUGGGCAGUAGUGUUGAAGUUAUAGUCUGAUUUGGAGGUCUUGGCUUUCUGGGCCUUGGCCUCUCUGUGAGCAGGCUUGACUUUAGGCGUGGAAGUUUUGACAGCCUCGAUGAUGGGGACUCCGUUCAGAGCUGCCCUGACUGCGGCCUGCCUCAGCGGGCUGGGAGAGGGAGGUAGACUCUCCUGCUUCUUCACAUACUCCAUCCUGAGGAGGGAGAGGAUUGGGGACCAUGACAACCUGAUUGACGCCUAUAAACAAACUAUACCAAAAAGGCACUUAUUGUAGUAGUAAAAAAUAUGUAUUAAAACCACUUUUUAACAGUGGUCUAAAGUACUUCAGUAAAAAUACUUUAAAGUACUACUUAAGUAGUUUUUGUGGGUAUCUGUACUUUACUAUUUCUAUUUUUUGACUACUUUUACUUCACUACAUUCCUAAAGAAAAUUAUGUACUUUUUACUCCAUACAUUUUCCAUGACACCCAAAAGUACUCGUUACAUUUUUAAUGCUUAGCAGGACAGGAAAAAAGUCUAAUUCCCACACUUAUCAAGAGAACAUCCCUGGUCAUCCCUACUGCCUCUGAUCUGGAG